AUUGAACGCUGGCGGCAGGCCUAACACAUGCAAGUCGAGCGGAUGAAGGGAGCUUGCUCCUGGAGUCAGCGGCGGACGGGUGUGUAAUGCCUAGGAAUCUGCCUGGUAGUGGGGGAUAACGUCCGGAAACGGGCGCUAAUACCGCAUACGUCCUGAUGGAGAAAGUGGGGGAUCUUCGGACCUCACGCUAUCUGAUGAGCAUAGGUCGGAUUAGAUAGUUGGUGGGGUAAAGGCCUACCAAGGCGAGGAUCCGUAACUGGUCUGAGAGGAUGAUCAGUCACACUGGAGCUGAGACACGGUCCAGACUCCUAAGAGAGGCAGCAGUGGGGAAUGUUAGACAACAGGCGAGAGCAUGAUCCAGCGAGGGCGCGUCUGAUAAGAAGGUCUUCGGAGUGUAAAGCCCGUUAAGGUGGGAGAAACCGCAGUAAGUUGAUACCUAGCUGUAUUGACGGUACCAACAGAAUAAGCACCGGCUAACUACGUG
rnacentral:rRNA from 1 species